GACGAACGCUGGCGGCGUGCCUAAUACAUGCAAGUAGAACGCUGAAGAGAGGAGCUUGCUCUUCUUGGAUGAGUUGCGAACGGGUGAGUAACGCGUAGGUAACCUGCCUUGUAGCGGGGGAUAACUAUUGGAAACGAUAGCUAAUACCGCAUAACAAUGGAUGACACAUGUCAUUUAUUUGAAAGGGGCAAUUGCUCCACUACAAGAUGGACCUGCGUUGUAUUAGCUAGUAGGUGAGGUAAUGGCUCACCUAGGCGACGGUACAUAGCCGACCUGAGAGGGUUAUCGGCCACACUGGGACUGAGACACGGCCCCGACUCCUUCGGGGGGCAGCAGUAGGGAAUCUUCGGCAAUGGGGGCAACCCUUACCGAGCAACGCCGCGGGGGUGAAGAAGGUUUUCGGAUCGUAAAGCUCUGUUGUAAGUCAAGAACGGGUGUGAGGGUGGAAAGUUCACACUGUGACGUUAGCUUACCAGAAAGGGACGGCUAACUACGUG
rnacentral:rRNA from 1 species